GUGGUAAGUGGCUUCGUGGUCUUUAUAGCUGUUACUCUUUUGUACUUUGUCUUUUUCUUUUAUUUUCUUUUGAGCGAUUGUGCGAACAUAGCAUAGCACGCACUAUGCCUUCUGUGUUGUAGCUGCCUGGCCAGGGCGACUGGCGGAUAAGGUCUUGUGCGUGGCCUCGAGGCUUAAAAGUAGCAGUGGGGCUUUGUGAAGGACAAAAUGGCGAUGGCGGGCCGUGUAGGUCCCCCUUCCUAUGAUGAGGACCUUUUCACAGACCUGUACUGAGCUCCGUGAGGAUAAAUAACUCUGAGGAGAUGGGCCCUGCAAGCCUCUUGCUUAGCCGUCUGUUCAGAAAAUAGCGUUUUCGAAAUGCCCUGAGUUGACCUAAUGUCUUAUUGGGCUCCUGUCUGCAGGAUUUACGCGCACGUUGGAACCGAAGAGAGCUCUGUUGUUGCACCCACAAGAGCUUACUGGUGAAGGAAUGGGACAAGACCCAUCUUUAUGCAAAGCCAGCGUUACAGUAAUGUUCCAGCAUCUCAUAAUCUAUCCUGGGGAAUUCAGCUGCCUCCCAGGGUGAAUACAGGUAUUCCUGAUGACAGUCUGCCUCUAUCUUACAGAGCAGCUUGUUGCUAUAUACCAUUGAAAAGCCUUCAGAGCUGAGAGGUACUACUAACCAAUAACCUGCUUGGCUCAAAGGGCCAGCACCUUCUCUCUAAAGCCCAAGAGGAGUUUGAGGAAAACUAGGUGUCUGUGUUCACUCCAGGCUGAAGUUACAGGUCUGAGCAAAUAAGGUGUAUAAAAAAUGGAAUCUGUCUUGGAGGACAUCAGAAGGUGAAUUUUCCAAGUUCUUGGACAACCUAGCUGUUGAAAAGCUUUCUGGGUUUGGGGGGUAUUUCAGAUGUACCUUAAAGUGUUAGCAGACACAGAUUAAGACACUGGGAGCCAAUGAAACAGCAGUUGAGGGUUUGCUGUGUAUCACAUUUCUGUAUUUUAUCACCCCCUUCCUGCAACAUUAUUUAUCUGGAAUCUACCUGCCCUUUUGUUUUUUAGAUACAAGGGCUUGGUUUUGUUACCCAGGCUGGUUUCAAGGCCAUAGCUUUAAGAGAUCCUCUCACCACAGAUUUCCAAAGUGCUGGGAUUGCAGGUGUGAUUCAUGGCACCCAGACUUUGCUGCCUUUCUUACAUGAUCCAGGCCCAGAACCCAAACUCAGGCACUGUAUAGAUGACCACUUUCGUAAACUACUGACCUAGCUUGUUGCCAAUUGUUGAUUGAACUUCCCAUAACUCCACUUCGUGUCUGUUCCUCUGUAUACAGCCACCUUCUGUUCCCGUCAUGAGCCUUUAGGUCUCCAUUUGCAUAUUGCAAAUACUAUGUUCCAUGUAGGUAGCUCAUUCAGGGCCUUGCUCUUCACUUCAAAAAAGGUUCCCUUGAGGACUGGCUGUCAAUUUGUGUUGCUGUGUUGGUUGUUGAUGAAAAUAAUAAAAUGAUUGAUUACAUA
rnacentral:snoRNA from 10 species